rnacentral:lncRNA from 1 species
GGGAAACUCUGCGCUGCCACAGUCCAUCCACCUCUAAGACAAGUUAGAGGCAAGACUGAGCACCUCAGACAUCUUAUUGCUAGUUGAAUCUCACCUCCAGGGAGACCACUGCAAUUCUACAGGAGCAACGGGCAGUUUGUCCAGCCUGGAGAAAGCCAGGGGAAAGCAUAGGACAUCCCUGCAGUCUGGGGGUCCUUCGGCUUCUGUGAUGCGCGGUGCAGAGGCAGGAGAGCGCUGCAAACCCGCAGCCCGGGGGGGUGGGGGGAGUGUGUGUGGGGGUGUGGGGGGCGGAGGGGGCUCCCCCCUCCCCGCCCCACACUAACACCUGGUCCCUUCUCCGCUCGGUCAGGGGCCUGGCUGCGCCACUGCUCAGCGCCCCGGCUUAGGCAAGAAUUGGAGCAACUGGGGGAACUGGCGAGGAGCCUGAGUCAUUUAUGUGCAUUUAAAGCUAUCUUUGGAUGCAGCCCUGCUAAAGCACAAGGUAGUCUGAUGAUGAAGUACUUCACCCAUUUGCACUUGUUUAGAAGAAUACCCUCCACUUCUCCGCAGUGUACUUCUCAAGUAAAGCAAGUUGGAUAUUGGCUCCUACGUUGCCCUUUGUGUACAAUUUCUUUUGACUCUUAAUCAUCCUGGCAGCAAGUGUGUUCAACAUGAACUGGACCACACAUGGUGUCUUUGCAUAUUCUGUGCAUAUUCUGUCUCCAAGGAUUUGGAAAAAUCUCAAAGUCAGUGCUAGAAAAAGAAACGUAGUAAAACAAGAUUGGGGAAAUAAAAAAGUCAGUUACUUAGGAAAAUAUGCCCAAUUAUAAUAUAAUCUGCACAGUACGUACCAUAAGUAUUUUAGAAAUAAUGCAAUGUUGUCUGUAGGGAGAGAUGAAUGUUGCAACUAAAUAGUUUCUGAAGAGCAAACAUAAAUAAAUGUACUGACUCUUAAGACCUUGGCAUAGAGCGUACAAUAAUGAGUUGUUUUGACAAGUCCAAAAAAUGUUUCUGUCUCUCCUCUUUCCUAUGAUUUGGCAACUUCUUUACCUCAUAUUGAUUUGUUCCUCAUUUCCCUUGCAACAAAAUUUACCUUCUUGUAAACAUAUCAUCUGAUAUUCUUUCCACAAAGACUAUUUCUAGAGCCUCUACCUUCUUCCUAAAUGAUUUACUACUUUUUCGUUCCUUUUAUUAUUCCUCCCUCCACUGAAAAACCAAAACCAAACCCAAAAAUUUAACCAGCACAGAAUAGAAUAUUACAUUUUUCCAAACUAUCCAGACGAUGAAGACAAUGAUGGGUGUAGAGUUCUGUGUGGAUGGCUGUCUCAGCCUUACAAGAUGGAUAGUAAUGGGUCUCCUUUCAACCUCAAGCCUCUGUCUCUAAAACAAUCUCCAAGUCCAUCCUUGUAACAGAAUUGCUAAUAACUGCUCUUCCUGCAUCUCCAUGUCACAGUGGGUUGACCUACUUCU